rnacentral:rRNA from 1 species
GACGAACGCUGGCGGCGUGCUUAACACAUGCAAGUCGAACGAAGCGGCGGACGGGUGAGUAAUGCCUAGGAAUCUGCCUGGUAGUGGGGGAUAACGUCCGGAAACGGGCGCUAAUACCGCAUACUAUCAGAUGAGCCUAGGUCGGAUUAGCUAGUUGGUGGGGUAAAGGCCUACCAAGGCGACGAUCCGUAACUGGUCUGAGAGGAUGAUCAGGCACACUGGAACUGGGAUACGGCCCAGACUCCUACGGGAGGCAGCAGUGGGGGAUAUUGCACAAUGGGCGAAAGCCUGAUGCAGCGACGCCGCGUGGGGGAUGAAGGCUUUCGGGUUGUAAACCUCUUUCGCUAUCGAACGGGUAGGUGGAGAAGAAGCGCCGGCUAACUACGUGCCAGCAGCCGCGGUAAUUC